AAUUGGAGGGCAAGUCUGGUGCCAGCAGCCGCGGUAAUUCCAGCUCCAAUAGCGUAUAUUAAAGUUGUUGCAGUUAAAAAGCUCGUAGUUGAAUUUCGGGAUUGACACAUCGGUCGUGCCUUAAGGGGUAUGAACUGGUGUAGUCAAUUUCUCACCUUCUGGAGAACCGCGAUGCCCUUAAUUGGGUGUCACGGGGAACCAGGACCUUUACUUUGAAAAAAUUAGAGUGUUUAAAGCAGGCAUUUUGCUUGAAUACAUUAGCAUGGAAUAAUAAAAUAGGACGGCAUGAUUCUAUUUUGUUGGCUUCUAGGAUCACCGUAAUGAUUAAUAGGGAUAGUUGGGGGCAUUAGUAUUCAAUUGUCAGAGGUGAAAUUCUUGGAUUUAUUGAAGACUAACUACUGCGAAAGCAUUUGCCAAGGAUGUUUUCAUUAAUCAAGAACGAAAGUUAGGGGAUCGAAGACGAUCAGAUACCGUCGUAGUCUUAACCAUAAACUAUGCCGACUAGGAAUCAGACGAUGUUAAUUUUUUAAUGACUCGUUUGGCACCUUACGGGAAACCAAAGUGU
rnacentral:rRNA from 1 species